AGAAAUGAUGGCUUAGUGGUACAGCAUCGGUUUGGCAUACAGAAGGUCCCAAAUUCAAUCCCUGCCAUCUCCA
rnacentral:tRNA from 1 species